GCACUGCUGAGGAGUCCCACAAUAGGACAAAACGACCGUCCAGUUC
rnacentral:hammerhead_ribozyme from 1 species